GCAGUGAGGAGCUGAACUUUCCCCUCCUCUGCUGUCCCUGCAGACGGGCAGGGUCGCCUACAGAGCGGCGCUGGUAGCUGUUAAUGAAGUGAUGCUCUUUCAUUUGAGGGUCCCAUUUCAUCAGUUCUAAGGGGCAAGACGACACUCAAACAAGAGGUAGGGGUAAGAAUAAAUGGGAUUGGGUACAGGCCUGAAUGCUUGACCCCUACAGUCUGUUGUGAGGAGCAUUUUGGCACAGAUUGGGUCCACUUGUCCCCUUAGAUGCAGGGGUCACUGCAAACCAAUGCAAAUGUACUCUGAUCAGCCUUGAUGUGAUGAAAUAUUUCUGUCCUCUUCCAGGAUGACAGUGGCCCCGUUCACAGGGCACAAGGGGUCACCGAAUGCUUUGAUGAGUGUGAAAAUGAUGUAAAUCAUACACAGUGGCCUUCAGUCAGAUCUCAGUCCAGUUGAACACGUGUGGAAGAUCUUGGACCAUGUUCUCCACCACCACCACCGUUGGGAACACCAGUUGAGGGAAUUAAAAUGCUGUAAUUUGCCACCCGUCUGUAGUUCAUGUUAGAGCAGCAGGUGUGCUUCUCUCCUCAGCUCUCCGUGGCUCUGAUCCAGCAGCUCUGAAGCCUAUCUGUGAUUUAUUGACUGAGAAAUAACCCAAACGUGGAGAUCCGACUGCGGCCCUCAAAGGAAAGAAUUAGCCGAAUUAGAUUUACUCUCUUCUCUCCGGAAUGUGUGCAGGACCUCUUGAGAGGGAACGAGGUAACAAGCUGCUGAUUGAGUGCUGCCUACAAACUGAGCGAUGUGGCGAUGCCUUCAGGGAAGAUCCGAGCAGCAGAGAGAGAGAGAGCGGUCAACACCAGCAGCCCCGUGCAGAUCCGCGCUGCGUGGGAUGUUUAUUUAUUCGUCUCCGAGAGCCUCUGAGAGCCUCCGAGAGCCGGGGGCCUGACGUUUUGACACCUCACAGAGGUGCACUUGAUCUCACUGUGUCUGUUUGCCUGGAUUUCCUACAAGUGCUGAAUCUUAGCAGUAAUCCCCCCUCGCCGCCCACCGCCGCCUCGCUCCUGACAGACCAACACUAAGCCUGUUAAGUUGUCGCAGCACUUGGUGAAGAGAGACUGAAAAAUGUCAUCCAGGUCAGCAUUUUGUACCUUUGAGGAAAAACUGAGAGUCUCACAGCAGCAAUCCACCCGGUCGCUGCUCCCUUUUCAGCCUGGUCUCGAUUAGCUGCGGUCAUUCGGUUACCAGCAUGGAUGCGACUGCCCAUUGACUUCUGCUGUAAGUUGUGUUGAACGUGUCGUUUCUGUUAACUGACGCACAGCAGAUGGAGAUUAGGCUGAAAAACACCGGGCCUCGUUUAACCGAGUGGAGAGCACAUACAUUAUAUAUACAUAUAUAUAUAUAUAUAUGUCUGUAUGUAUUUAAUGCUGUAUGGAGCAGCUGUUCAGGGUUCCUCUACCCUUCCUAGCGGUGUACAUAUUUGUGGAACCAGCAAACGGAGAACCCGGCUCAAUACAGCCCACAUAAAGUUUUCUUUUUUUUAAUUUUUCCAUUUUAUUUUUUUCCUUUUGAGGAUUUCUCUCAUGUGGGAUCAUCCAUUAAUCCACAUUAUCACAAGAACAAAUGCUGAGUGGAUUAUUGCCACAGUGCCGGUGCUGAUUCCGGAUCACCAGAAUAUUCUUUAAUCUGCCUUUUCUUUGAGAUUACCAUAAUUUAAGCCUUAUUUUAAACCCCGCUGCCCUCUUAGCGCUUACUGUGACGGAAUGUGCUCUGAAACGAUGGCCUAAGGAAAGGAAUGAUGUUUAAACAGUGCUGAAAGGGAAUUUUGCGUUUGCCUGAUCCAGCGCUGUAGCAGGUGCGAUGCCUUUGUUUGACAGUGUUGUAGUUUAUCAGUAUUAAAAAGUGCACAAAAUAUGGAGAAUAAACUGACCAGCUCUAAGCAUACAUGCUUAAAGGGCCCAUACCAUGAAAAAUCUGUUUUUUUUUUUCCCUUUAUAUAAUACAGACGUUAUACAGUCCACCAUUCGUCCUUUGAGUCCAUACAGGCUGUUAAUUGAACCUAAGCUGCAAAAACAGGCUGUUUUGAAUUCAUUGUUUUUGUGAUGUCACAAAAACCAACAUAAUUACAUGUGUCUACAGCGGUUUAGUCCUGCCCAUUCGUGCUGAAGUUGUGAGCAUUUCAACUUGGGCUGCUUUUUUCAUGAAUAAGGCAUGAUAGAAGGCAGCCAAUCAGAACAAAGGUCAUUUACAUACUUUUAAGGACAUUAAAGGGCCCAUAUAACUGGCAAAAUAAUGUUUGUUUUUUGAUGUAUGUGCAAUAAAUACUGUAAUAAAGUGAAAAAAAAAUUAACCCUUCACUGUGCACCUCCAUAAUGGUCGAUAAAUGUAAACAGCUGCAAAAAAAAAGCUCAUUUUGAAUUCACUGUUUUUGUGAUGUCACAAACAAGCACAUUUACAUGUCUACAGCAGUUUAGUCCUGUCUUUUCACGCUGAAGUUAUGAACAUUUCAACCUGGAAUGCUUUUUGCUGAAUGAGGCGCAGUAGACAGCAGCCAAUCAGAACGGAAGUCGUUUACAUACGUUUACAUUAAAGGGCCUCUGCACUCUAUAAUGGUCAAUAUGUUUUUAAGCAGCUGCAAAAAAAACUGCUUAUUUUUAAUGCGCUGUUUUUCGUGAUGUCACAAAAAUGAACACGUUUACAUGCCUACAGCAGUUAAGCCUUGCUCAUUCACUCUGAAGUGAGGAGAAUUUCAGCCUGGGCUGUGUUUUUUGCUGAAUGGGGCAAAACAGACAAGAGCCAAUGAGGACAGAGGUCAUUUACAUAUAUUUACAUUAAAGGUCUCACAACACAGAAAAAAAAAAUUCUUCGUCUUAUUUUUUUAUAUUGUAUUUAUUGUAUUGAAUAAAUACUUCAGUAAAUGUACUGAUAGUUUUUAAAAAUAAUAAAGGGAUAAAAAUAAAGGGAACAAAAAACAGCUUCACUGGUUUUGUGACGUCACAAAAAUUAACACCUUUACAUGUCAGCAUACAGCAGUUAAGGCGUACUCAUUCACCCUGAUUUACAAGUGUGUCAGCCUGGAUUGCCUUAUGAGUGAGGGUUGGUGCAAAGCAGCCAAUCAGGACAGAGCACAUUUACAUAGGUCUUAAAGGGACGGUAACAAAAACAGCCUGUUUGAUUCUAAGGAAUCAGCCGUGUGAAAAUGAAGCGAGGUUCAUUUUGGUACAUAAAGCCCACACAAGAUACCCAAGAUGUGUGGGGCAUGGGCCCUUUAAUCUCAGACCAAACUUUUAAGCAGGGCACGCUCAGUUCACUGUCAGGCCGUGGACUGGGACGUGAACUAUGUCAUUUGGAAACCUGCCACAGAUGUGCGCUAUGACUUGGUCAGUGUUGCCUUUGAGAGCUGUGAGAGUGUUUUACAGAGGCUGAGCUCGGCGCUCUGGUUUACAGACAGCAGCCGUGCUCUGGAUGCGUGGUAAACUGCAGUGGGCCUUAAACAGAAGAGAUUCGUUUGUUUUUCUGUUGUUUUUUCUUUUUCCCCGCCGUUUCUUUGCACUUGUGUACAUAAUGUAUAUGAACACGUGGAUGGAUCUUGAAGAUGUGAUGUCUGAGUGGAUGUUGAGGAUGGUGCUGAGUUUGUAUUAAAAAAAAUAACAGCUGUUUGGUGAAUUUGGGUGCAGCAGCAGCUUCGGAUCGUUUUUGGUCGUUGUGGGAAUAUUUCUGAUUACACUUACAGCCUCUGCAUAUACUUAGACAUUUUUACAUAACCUGACAGUGUGGUUUAUAUUAUAUUACAUUAUAUAAAUAAGGUCUCUUUCCUUUUUUAUAUCAAAGACCAGCUACCUCCACAGCACUUAAAGGGGAACUCCACCUAGUUUUCAGAAUUUCUGCAGAAAUAAAUGGUUAAAAUGUGAACAGAGUCAUGUGGGCUCUGUUUUAGAGAAACCUUCCAAGCGCACAGUGGUGGUGAUAGGAACCAGACGUCCGGCUCCCUGCAGGACGUCCCCUGCAGAUGCCCGCAGGUCACUUUUAAGGCAAAAUAGUACCUAAAAGGCAUAUUUUUAUUUCAGAUUUGAUCAGUCACAUUACAAAUGAGGCCCAAGUGCUUCCCCCCGGUUCCUAUCGCCACCCCUGCGAAGAAGUCUGACUCACUUUCUCUACAACGAACCGUUCCACACCAAACCGCUCUGAAUGACUUCACGGCUCAACCACUUAAUUAGGCAUGAAUUUUUGAAAAAUCAGCGGGAUUUCCCCUUUCAAGGCUCUAGUGUCACCUCCCAGGUUAGGCCUAACGCCAGAUUAACGGCUAUUUAAAGGGAGUAGGUCUGUUACAGCUGCCUUUUCUGACUCGUUCUAGGCUUUAACUGGGUGUCAGACACCGGCCCCCAGCAUUACGACUGAAGCACUGUAAUAUCUGUCAGGAAACGCACCAUCAGCGCCGUGUCGGAGGCUGCUGACGCUCUGGCCCACCACACCUCGGUUCAUCUCGCAGAAACGAAAGUAAAAGGACCAAGUCGAUCCCUGCUCUACCACAGCCGAGUCAGAGGCAGCUCCGAGGUGGGAGCGAGAGCAGAGGAACCGCUGUGGUUUCCAGGUGGAGAACAUCUACAAGGUCUUGAGUGGUGACGCUGUAUAAAGGCCGAGAGACUUCAAGCUGGUGAAACUUUAAUCCCGAGGUAAAGACGGAUCAGUGGGCUUGAAUGACUGAUGUAUAGGUGCAGAACUGCUCUCUUCACUGUGCCCUUUUCAUAGAAUCACCCUCGAGCCACCUCGCCUCAUACCGCCUCCACAUCCACACGCGUAUCCAUAAACUGGACUUCUUCGUUUUCCUUUCGUUUUUUGUUUUUUUUUUACUAACUGUUUUCUUUCCUUGUACAGUAUUUUGCUGAGAUUAACUGAGAUUUACAGAGGAGAGAAGCUGUAAAUGAAUGUGUAAUUUAUUGUUGGGAUUGGCUUUAUAAAUAAAAAUCAGACUCGAGUCACGUU